AUUGAACGCUGGCGGCAGGCCUAACACAUGCAAGUCGAACGAGUGGCGGACGGGUGAUUAAUAUCUGGUAAACUGCCUGAUGGAGGGGGAUAACUACUGGAAACGGUAGCUAAUACCUCAUACCAUCAGAUGUGCCCAGAUGGGAUUAGCUUGUUGGGGGGGUAACGGAUCACCAAGGCGACGAUCCCUAGCUGGUCUGAGAGGAUGACCAACCACACUGGAACGGAGACACGGUCCAGACCCCUAAGGGAGGCAGCAGUGGGGAAUCUUGCACAAGGGGCGCAAGCCUGAUGCAGCCAUGCCGCGUGUAUGAAGAAGGCCUUCGGGGUGUAAAGUACUUUCAGCGGGGAGGCGUUACCCGCAGAAGAAGCACCGGCUAACUCCGUGCCAGCAGCCGCGGUAAUUC
rnacentral:rRNA from 1 species